CCCUUAGAUGUUCUGGGAUGCACGCGCGUUACACUGAUUCGUUCAACGAGUUUAUGACCUUGCCUGAUGAGGUGGGGAAUCUUUUCAAAUCGCAUCGUGAUGGGGAUAGAGUAUUGUAACUGUUAGUCUUCAACGAGGAAUUCCUAGUAAGUACGUGUCAUCAGCUCGUACUGAUUAUGUCCCUGCCCUUUGUACACACCGCCCGUCGCUCCUACCGAUUGAGUGCUCAGGUGAAUAGUAUGGACUGCAUCAGUGUUCGGUCUCCGAAUGUUGACGCGAGAAAUUCUGUGAAUCUUAUUGCUUAGAGGAAGGAGAAGUCGUAACA
rnacentral:rRNA from 1 species